AUUGAACGCUGGCGGCAGGCCUAACACAUGCAAGUCGAGCGGAGCGGCGGACGGGUGAGUAAUGCCUAGGAAUCUGCCUGGUAGUGGGGGAUAAGGUCAGGAAACGGGCGCUAAUACCGCAUACUAUCAGAUGAGCCUAGGUCGGAUUAGCUAGUUGGUGGGGUAAAGGCCUACCAAGGCGACGAUCCGUAACUGGUCUGAGAGGAUGAUCAGUCACACUGGAACUUAGACACGGUCCAUGCGCCUGCGUGAGGCAGCAGUGGGGAAUAUUGGACAAUGGGCGAAAGCCUGAUCCAUCCAUGCCGCGUGUGUGAAGAAGGUCUUCGGAUUGUAAAUCACGUUAAGUUGGGAGGCGUUACCAACAGAAUAAGCACCGGCUAACUUCGUGCCAGCAGCCGCGGUAAUAC
rnacentral:rRNA from 1 species